GACGAACGCUGGCGGCGUGCUUAACACAUGCAAGUCGAACGAAGAGCGAUGGAAGCUUGCUUCUAUCAAUCUUAGUGGCGAACGGGUGAGUAACGCGUAAUCAACCUGCCCUUCAGAGGGGGACAACAGUUGGAAACGACUGCUAAUACCGCAUACGAUCUAAUCUCGGCAUCGAGGAUAGAUGAAAGGUGGCCCCUACAUGUAAGCUAUCACUGAAGGAGGGGAUUGCGUCUGAUUAGCUAGUUGGAGGGGUAACGGCCCACCAAGGCGAUGAUCAGUAGCCGGUCUGAGAGGAUGAACGGCCACAUUGGGACUGAGACACGGCACAGACUCCUACGGGAGGCAGCAGUGGGGAAUCUUCCGCAAUGGACGAAAGUCUGACGGAGCAACGCCGCGUGAGUGAUGACGGCCUUCGGGUUGUAAAGCUCUGUUAAUCGGGACGAAAGGCCUUCUUGCGAAUAGUGAGAAGGAUUGACGGUACCGGAAUAGAAAGCCACGGCUAACUACGUG
rnacentral:rRNA from 1 species